AUACGACUCUCGGCAACGGAUAUCUCGGCUCUCGCAUCGAUGAAGAACGUAGCGAAAUGCGAUACUUGGUGUGAAUUGCAGAAUCCCGCGAACCAUCGAGUCUUUGAACGCAAGUUGCGCCCAAGGCCUCUAGGUCGAGGGCACAUCUGCUUGGGCGUUAAACAAC
rnacentral:rRNA from 2 species